rnacentral:rRNA from 1 species
UACGUAGGGUGCGAGCGUUAAUCGGAAUUACUGGGCGUAAAGUGUGCGCAGGCGGCAAAGCAAGUCGAGUGUGAAAGCCCCGGGCUUAACUUGGGAAUUGCGCUCGAAACUACUUUGCUGGAGUGUGACAGAGGAAGGUGGAAUUCCACGUGUAGCGGUGAAAUGCGUAGAGAUGUGGAGGAACACCAAUGGCGAAGGCAGCCUUCUGGGCCAACACUGACGCUCAUGCACGAAAGCGUGGGGAGCAAACAGG